GUGAUGAGAAAACGGUCUGGCGAUAUAUGACCGAGAGACCGAUCGCUGA
rnacentral:snoRNA from 1 species